AAUUAUAAAAAUGGUAAACAGAAAUAAACUAUGAUCAGUGGAGCAGUGCUGAGGAUGAACUAUAGUUUAAGAGUCUGAUAGCUCGGGGGGAAAGUUGCUCUGCAGUCUGUUGAUGCGGCAGCAGAAACUUCUAUAUCUCUUCCCAGAAGGCAGCAGGAUGAACAGGCUGUGGCUGGAUGUGAUGGAAAACCCAGUUGUGGCACCGUGCUGCCGCAGCCUCGUUGGAUGCCGGGUCUGCGCUGAGCCGUGGGCAACUACCUCGCCGCACUGCCCAAAAUGCAGGGACGAGAUGUUCCAAGAAAAAAAAUGUGAAAUUACAGGGAUGGGGGAGAUUGUGAAUGUUUUGAAGGACACUAUUAGUUAGGGGAUUGUUUUAGUUAGUUUUUAUUUUAGGUUUAGGUUUUAAGUUAAGUUAAAUGGUUAAGUUUGGUUAUGUUCAUCUGUUAUGUUAUUUUAUGCAAUUAAUAAAUUGUUCAAUUUUAUUUUCUAUUAUUCUCACUUGCAGAACUCAUUUUGUUGUAUUCAUUUUAUGUUAUUUUAUGCAAAUAAUAAAUUAAUAUAAAUAUUUUAAUAAAAUAAAUUAUGUUCACUUGCA